UGCAAGUUUGCUGCCCCCUUGCGUCUUGGAGUGGUCUCGUCAUUCGACGUUCGUCUAUUUGCUUUCACCCAUGUUCUAAUCUUAUCCUCACAAGGGUCGCGGGCGUGCUGGAGCCAUAUGCUUUCGUUUCGUGACACAAAUGGUGUGUGUAAUAUUUAUUGCAGUGACGCAACAGCACCCAGCGUGGCAGCUGCUUCCCAAGGCGCGUCCGUCAGAGCCACGGGGAAAGCAAAGGUGGUGCUUCCAUAAAUGGCACCGCGAUGCAAUCGGAGCCAAACCUGAUCACCCUGGAAGAGAGGACAGGUAAAGCGGCCAAUGUGGGUAUCAAACAUCUCUCCGAGGUUGCUGUGCAGCUGAUCAAAAACAAUGGGCUGGUCUAGGUUGCCUGGAGCAAAGUUGACGGUGCGAGAUGCCGUGAACGCGACUUUCAGCGGCUGGGAGAAAGGGUAAAGUUGCAUGGGAAGUAGGGAAGUGUGAUGGUGGCCUUGAGGACUGUGCGGGACAUCUACGAUGGGGACAGGAAGGGAAUCGCCAUGUCCUGAAUCCAUCGUUGUGAAUACUUCACGGUCUGGGCUGCUCACAUGUGAGCUCUCACGCCAGGCUGCUGCAGAGUAAAUGGAAAAAUAAAAAUAAAAAAUUAAAUCUGGUGGGGUGGCCAGUCCGUUACUAAAGACAUGUUGGGAUCCAGAGCCCUGCAAACGGAUCAAAUGCUGUAGAAAAUGGAUGGAUACACGACAAAACUGCCAUUUGAACAAUACUGGGGAGAAUUAAGCCAUGGCACGAGUUUACCUCUUUACUCCCAGCUGACUUGCACUUGCUGGCAACAGGUGCUUUAGGGAUGAAAGUGGCCUCCGUGCCUUUCCACGCUUUGCCCACCGCGGCCUGCAAUGAGAUGCCCUCAUCCGAGACCUCAAAAUCCCAGCAGUCGGGAGGGUCAACCUGUCUCCUAAGCAUCGAGUCUUCCUUCGAUUUCUGCGCCAGGGAAUUGUCAAGCGUAUAAAUUCAUCACGGCACAGGAGUCAAACGAUGGUCCGAUCUCACGAUUACUGCUGCACCUGCUUGGACGUACCUAGAGUCGUUUUGGACGGAAGACAAGAGAAGUACUUGCUCUUCAAUAAUUUG